rnacentral:piRNA from 1 species
UCUUAGACGAUGGGAGAGUUGAUGAUACAC